UACGUAGGUGGCAAGCGUUGCCCGGAUUUAUUGGGUUUAAAGGGUGCGUAGGCGGCCCUGUAAGUCAGUGCUGAAAUACCCCGGCUUAACCGGGGGGGUGGCAUUGAUACUGCAGGGCUUGAGUACAGAUGAGGUAGGCGGAAUUGACGGUGUAGCGGUGAAAUGCAUAGAUAUCGUCAAGAACACCGAUAGCGAAGGCAGCUUACUGGGCUGUAACUGACGCUGAUGCACGAAAGUGUGGGGAUCAAACAGG
rnacentral:rRNA from 1 species